rnacentral:rRNA from 1 species
UUUUUGAAGGGUUUGAUCCUGGCUCAGAACGAACGUUGGCGGCAUGGAUUAGGCAUGCAAGUCGAAUGAAUCCGUAGCAAUACGGGGAAAUGGCGAAAGGGGCAGUAAUGUGUGGGUAACCUACCUUGGGGAUGGGCAUAGCCGGUCUAACGGCCGGGUAAUUCCCAGCGAUUCGGCGAAGUGGCAUCACUUUGCCGGGAAAUGAAUUUCGCCUCGAGAGGGGCCCACAUGAUAUUAGAUAGUUGGCGGUGUAACGGACCACCAAGUCUAAGAUGUCUAGCGGGUGUGAGAGCACGACCCGCGCCACUGGCACUGUGACACUGGCCAGACACCUACGGGUGGCUGCAGUCGAGGAUCUUCGUCAAUGGGCGAAAGCCUGAACGAGCGAUGCCGCGUGCGCGAUGAAGGCCUUCGGGUUGUAAAGCGCGAAAGAGGGAAUAAAGGGAAACUUGAUUGAACCUCAGUAAGCUCGGGCUAAGUUCGUGCCAGCAGCCGCGGUAAGACGAACCGAGCGAACGUUGUUCGGAAUCACUGGGCAUAAAGGGCGCGUAGGCGGGUUUCUAAGUCCGUGGUGAAAUACUUCAGCUCAACUGGAGAACUGCCUCGGAUACUGGGAAUCUCGAGUAAUGUAGGGGCACGUGGAACGGCUGGUGGAGCGGUGAAAUGCGUUGAUAUCAGUCGGAACUCCGGUGGCGAAGGCGAUGUGCUGGACAUUUACUGACGCUGAGGCGCGAAAGCCAGGGGAGCAAACGGGAUUAGAUACCCCGGUAGUCCUGGCCCUAAACGAUGAGAACUAGAUAGUAGACUUUCAUGGGUUUACUGUCGAAGCAAAUGUGCUAAGUUCUCCGCCUGGGGAGUAUGGUCGCAAGACUGAAACUCAAAGGAAUUGACGGGGGCUCACACAAGCGGUGGAGCAUGUGGCUUAAUUCGAGGCUACGCGAAGAACCUUAUCCUAGACUUGACAUGUGCGAAAGCGAUAGGAAGUAGUGUGCGGAAACGUUACACGAACGGUAUCCAAUCCGGAACCUAUUACAGGUGCUGCAUGGCUGUCGUCAGCUCGUGUCGUGAGAUGUCGCGUUAAGUCGCUUAACGAGCGAAACCCUUACCCUUAGUUGCCAGCGGGUUAUGCCGGGGACUCUAGGGGGACUGCCUAUGUUAAAUAGGAGGAAGGCGGGGAUGACGUCAAGUCCUCAUGGCCUUUACGUCUAGGGCUGCACACGUGCUACAAUGGUGUGAACAAAGGGACGCAAACUCGCGAGAGGGAGCAAAUCCCAAAAAACACACCCCAGUUCAGAUCGAAGGCUGCAACUCGCCUUCGUGAAGUUGGAAUCGCUAGUAAUCGCGGGUCAGCAACACCGCGGUGAAUGUGUUCCUGAGCCUUGUACACACCGCCCGUCAAGCCACGAAAGAGUGGAGUGCCCGAAGUCGCUAACGCGCCGAAGGCAAAACACUUGAUUGGGACUAAGUCGUAACAAGGUAACCGUAGGGGAACCUGCGGUUGGAUCACCUCCUUU